AUUCUAUAUACCCACCUCCUCCUCCUCUUUCUGCUCCUCCUUCUCCUUCUCCUCUUUCUCUCUCUCACUCACUCACACACACGCACACGCACACACACAAGCGCGACGAUGUUGAGACUCUGUUAAACAUGGCUACUGACGAGAAAAGACCCAAGAAGGGCAUUCUCAAAAAUUCUUCAAGUUUUGAUAAACCUGACCAAACUCCGGUUGACUUACAUGGAGCCAGUAGCAGAGUGCCAGGGUGA